AGAGUUUGAUCCUGGCUCAGGAUGAACGCUAGCGGCAGGCUUAACACAUGCAAGUCGAGGGGCAGCGGGGUCCAGCAAUGGGCUGCCGGCGACCGGCGCACGGGUGCGUAACGCGUAUGCAACCUGCCCGCGACAGGGGGAUAACCGGUGGAAACGCCGACUAAUACCCCGUAAUGCACUAGGUCGCAUGGCUUGGUGCUGAAAGCUUCGGUGGUCGCGGAUGGGCAUGCGUGGCAUUAGGUAGUUGGCGGGGCAACGGCCCACCAAGCCUACGAUGCCUAGGGGAGCUGAGAGGCUAAUCCCCCACACUGGUACUGAGACACGGACCAGACUCCUACGGGAGGCAGCAGUGAGGAAUAUUGGUCAAUGGGCGGAAGCCUGAACCAGCCAUGCCGCGUGUGGGAAGAAGGCCCUAUGGGUUGUAAACCACUUUUAGCCGGGAGUAAUAAGGGGCGUGCGCGCCCCGAUGAGAGUACCGGCGGAAUAAGCAUCGGCUAACUCCGUGCCAGCAGCCGCGGUAAUACGGAGGAUGCAAGCGUUAUCCGGAUUUAUUGGGUUUAAAGGGUGCGUAGGCGGACCGUUAAGUCAGCGGUGAAAGGUCCCGGCUCAACCGGGGAGCUGCCGUUGAUACUGGCGGACUUGAGUCCAAACGGCGCCGGCGGAAUAUGUAAUGUAGCGGUGAAAUGCAUAGAUAUUACAUAGAACACCGAUCGCGAAGGCAGCUGGCGAGGAUGGCACUGACGCUGAGGCACGAAGGCGUGGGGAUCGAACAGGAUUAGAUACCCUGGUAGUCCACGCAGUAAACGAUGGCGACUUGUUGUCGGCGACAGACUGCCGGUGGCAAAGCGAAAGCGAUAAGUAUUCCACCUGGGGAGUACGCCGGCAACGGUGAAACUCAAAGGAAUUGACGGGGGCCCGCACAAGCGGAGGAACAUGUGGUUUAAUUCGAUGCUACGCGAAGAACCUUACCUGGUCUUGAAAUCCGGACGAAUACAGGGCAAUGCCUGUAGCCUUCGGGCGGCCGAGACAGGUGGUGCAUGGUUGUCGUCAGCUCGUGUCGUGAGAUGUUGGGUUAAGUCCCGCAACGAGCGCAACCCUUGUCCUUAGUAGCCAGCAAUUCGGUUGGGCACUCUAAGGAGACUGCCCGGGAUAACCGGGAGGAAGGUGGGGAUGACGUCAAAUCAUCAUGCCCCUUAUGACCAGGGCUACACACGUGCUACAAUGUCGUAAACAAAGGGAAGCGAAGGAGCGAUCCGGAGCGAAACCCAUAAAUAACGACUCAGUUCGGAUUGCAGGCUGCAACUCGCCUGCAUGAAGCUGGAAUCGCUAGUAAUCGCAGAUCAGCAUGCUGCGGUGAAUACGUUCCCGGGUCUUGUACACACCGCCCGUCACACCAUGGGAGUUGGUAAUGCCCGAAGCUGGUGACCUAACCGCAAGGAAGGAGCCAUCGAAGGCAGGACUGAUAACUGGGGUGAAGUCGUAACAAGGUA
rnacentral:rRNA from 1 species